rnacentral:rRNA from 1 species
AAGACCUUGCGCUUUUGGAGCGGCCGAUGCCUGAUUAGCUUGUUGGUGAGGUAAAAGCUCACCAAGGCUUCGAUCAGUAGCUGGUCUGAGAGGACGGCCAGCCACACUGGGACUGAGACACGGCCCAGACUCCUACGGGAGGCAGCAGUGGGGAAUUUUGGACAAUGGGGGCAACCCUGAUCCAGCCAUGCCGCGUGAGUGAAGAAGGCCUUCGGGUUGUAAAGCUCUUUCAGCCGGAACGAAACGGUUACGGUUAAUACCCGUGACUACUGACGGUACCGGAAGAAGAAGCACCGGCUAACUACGUGCCAGCAGCCGCGGUAAUACGUAGGGUGCAAGCGUUAAUCGGAAUUACUGGGCGUAAAGCGUGCGCAGGUGGUUUUGUAAGUCAGAUGUGAAAUCCCCGGGCUUAACCUGGGAACU